ACGGGUCGUAGCGGUCUCGCCAGUUGCAGUGAAUUUCAUGCUCGACCCUACGCUCAUGCCAAGCUCUAUGCUGAGUUCAGGACGCGCUGACUGCAGCGUAGCGUCAAUGUCGUUGUAUCUCAGCACACCCGUGUGUAAGCGCGCGCUGAUCACUACUGACGCUGAGAACGAAAGCUAGGGAGCAAACAGAUUAGAUACGUGGUAGUCCUAGCCCUAAACGAUCAGGACUUGGGUGCCACCCGUUCGGGUGUCGUCCCGGAGCUAACGCGUUAAGUCCUGCACAUGGGGAGUACGGUCGCAAGACUGAAACUCAAAGGAAUUGACGGGGGCCCGCACAAGCGGUGGAACAUGCGGUUAAAUUCGACGCUACGCGAGGAACCUUACCUGGGCUCGAAAUGCUGGUGACCAGCUGUAGAAAUACGGCCUUCCCGCAAGGGACACCAGCAUAGGCGCUGCAUGGCUGUUGUCAGCUCGUGCCGUGAGGUGUUGGGUUAAGUCCCGCAACGAGCGCAACCCCUGCACACAGUUACUACUCGCAAGAGAGGACUCUGUGUGGACUGCUCCGGAUAACGGAGAGGAAGGUGGGGAUGACGCCAAGUCCGCAUGGCCUUUAUGUCCAGGGCUACACACGUGUUACAAUGCAGGGCACAAACCGUUGCCAACCCGCGAGGGGGAGCUAAUCGGAAAAAACUCUGCUCAGUUCGGAUUGCAGUCUGCAACUCGACUGCAUGAAGCCGGAAUCGCUAGUAAUGGCGUAUCAGAUCGACGCCGUGAAUACGUUCCCGGGCCUUGUACACACCGCCCGUCACAUCACGAAAGUGAGUUGUACUAGAAGUCGCCGCGCGAACCGCAAGGACGCAAGCGCCCAAGGUAUGACUCAUGAUUGGGGUGAAGUCGUAACAAGGUAACCA
rnacentral:rRNA from 1 species